rnacentral:rRNA from 1 species
CCUACGAGAGGCAGCAGUGAGGAAUAUUGGUCAAUGGGCGGAAGCCUGAACCAGCCAAGUAGCGUGCGGGAUGAAGGCCCUACGGGUCGUACACCGCUUUUGCACGGGGAUAACACCCUCCACUUGUGGAGGUCUGCAGGUACCGUGCGAAUAAGGGCCGGCAAAUUCCGUGCCAGCAGCCGCGGUAAUACGGAAGGCCCGAGCGUUAUCCGGAGUUAUUGGGUUUAAAGGGUGCGCGGGCGGAUUUUUAAGUCAGCGGUAAAAGCGUGGGGCUCAACCCCAUCCAGCCGUUGAAACUGGGGAUCUAGAGUGUGCGAGAGGUAUGCGGAAUGCGUGGUGUAGCGGUGAAAUGCAUAGAUAUCACGCAGAACCCCGAUUGCGAAGGCAGCAUACCGGUGCACAACUGACGCUCAGGCACGAAAGCGUGGGUAUCGAACAGGAUUAGAUACCCUUGUAGUC